GACGGAGGAGGCAAGCGUUAUCCGGAAUUAUUGGGCGUAAAGCGUCCGCAGGUGGCUGUGUAAGUCUGCUGUCAAAGAGCAAAGCUCAACUUUGUAAAGGCAGUGGAAACUACACGGCUAGAGUGCGUUCGGGGCAGAGGGAAUUCCUGGUGUAGCGGUGAAAUGCGUAGAGAUCAGGAAGAACACCGGUGGCGAAGGCGCUCUGCUAGGCCGCAACUGACACUGAGGGACGAAAGCUAGGGGAGCGAAUGGG
rnacentral:rRNA from 1 species